AACGUACGCUGGCGGCACGCCUAACACAUGCAAGUCGAACGAAGUAGCAAUACUUAGUGGCAGACGGGUGAGUAACAUGUAGGUAUCUGCCCUUUGGCCUGGAAUAACACGAGGAAACUUGUGCUAAUACCGGAUAAGUCUUUACGGAGAAAGCUUUAUGCACCAUUGGAUGAGCCUGCACUUGAUUAGUUUGUUGGUGGGGUAAUGGCCUACCAAGACUGUGAUCAAUAGCUGAUUUGAGAGGAUGAUCAGCCACAUUGGGACUGAGACACGGCCCAAACUCCUACGGGAGGCAGCAGUGGGGAAUCUUGCACAAUGGAGGAAACUCUGAUGCAGCGAUGCCGCGUGAGUGAAGAAGGCCCUUGGGUUGUAAAGCUCUUUCGUCGGGGAAGAAAAUGACUGUACCCGAAUAAGAAGGUCCGGCUAACUUCGUGCCAGCAGCCGCGGUAAUACGAAGGGACCUAGCGUAGUUCGGAAUUACUGGGCUUAAAGAGUUCGUAGGUGGUUGAAAAAGUUAGUGGUGAAAUCCCAGAGCUUAACUCUGGAACUGCCAUUAAAACUUUUCAGCUAGAGUAUGAUAGAGGAAAGCAGAAUUUCUAGUGUAGAGGUGAAAUUCGUAGAUAUUAGAAAGAAUACCAAUUGCGAAGGCAGCUUUCUGGAUCAUUACUGACACUGAGGAACGAAAGCAUGGGUAGCGAAGAGGAUUAGAUACCCUCGUAGUCCAUGCCGUAAACGAUGUGUGUUAGACGUUGGAAAUUUAUUUUCAGUGUCGCAGGGAAACCGAUAAACACACCGCCUGGGGAGUACGACCGCAAGGUUAAAACUCAAAUGAAUUGACGGGGACCCGCACAAGUAGUGGAGCAUGUGGUUUAAUUCGAAGAUACGCGCAGAACCUUACCAACACUUGACAUGUUCGUCGCGACUCUAAGAGAUUAGAGUUUUCGGUUCGGCCGGGCGAAACACAGGUGCUGCAUGGCUGUCGUCAGCUCGUGUCGUGAGAUGUUGGGUUAAGUCCCGCAACGAGCGCAACCCUCACUUUUAGUUGCCAUCAUUAAGUUGGGCACUCUGAAAGAACUGCCAGUGAUAAGCUGGAGGAAGGUGGGGAUGGCGUCAAGUCCUCAUGGCCCUUACGUGUUGGGCUACACACGUGCUACAAUGGUAUCUACAACAGGAAGCAAGACUGCGAAGUUAAGCAAAUCCCUAAAAGAUACCUCAGUUCGGAUUGCACUCUGCAACUCGAGUGCAUGAAGCUGGAAUUACUAGUAAUCGUGGAUCAGCGUGCCACGGUGAAUGCGUUCCCGGGUCU
rnacentral:rRNA from 1 species